CAUGCCCCUUAUGACCUGGGCUACACACGUGCUACAAUGGGCGGUACAAAGGGUCGCGAAACCCGCGAGGGGGAGCCAAUCCCAAAAAAGCCGCUCUCAGUUCGGAUUGCAGGCUGCAACUCGCCUGCAUGAAGCCGGAAUCGCUAGUAAUCGCGGAUCAGCAUGCCGCGGUGAAUACGUUCCCGGGCCUU
rnacentral:rRNA from 1 species